GACGAACGCUGGCGGCGCGCCUAACACAUGCAAGUCGAACGGAACUGACAGAAGCUUGCUUUUCUUAGCUUAGUGGCGAACGGGUAAGUAACGCGUGAGUCACCUGCGCUGGGCUGGGGGACAACAGUUGGGACCGACUGCUAAUACCGCAUAAGCCCACGAUCCGGCAUCGGGUUGAGGGAAAAGGAUUUAUUGGCUUCAGGAUGGACUCGCGUCCAAUUAGCUAGUUGGUGAGGUAACGGCCCACCAAGGCGAGGAGUGGUAGCCGGACUGAGAGGUUGAACGGCCACAUUGGGACUGAGGCGCGGCCCCGACUCCGACGGGAGGCAGCAGUGGGGGAUAUUGCACCAUGGGGGAAACCCUGAUGCAGCGACGCCGCGUGGAGGAAGCAGGUUUUCGGAUUGUAAACUCCUGUCGUUAGGGACGAUAAUGACGGUACCUAACAAGAAAGCACCGGCUAACUACGUG
rnacentral:rRNA from 1 species